GCCGAGGCUGUGCUUGUGGUGACUCACACAAAGGGUGACAACAGCUGCAAAGCACCCUGAGAUUAAAGGCUGCAAGGGUCAGACAUCAGAUGUCUUCUACUGCAAGAAGGUCAGAUUUUCACAGUCUCAUCACCACAGUCUGGAGAGGCUAGAGUUACUUUUGUACAAGUCUGGAUCAGCUCAAUCUACAGUAAAAGGCACAUAUAUGCAGAUGUGGCUGGUUAUAUGAGUUCCAAUUUUAACUCCAUCUGUUGGCAUUUCAUCAAGAUGAGAAUGACCUGCCUUUUCUUCAGAGAUCAGCAGAGAAAAGAAGCUGAAUGUGUGCUGUCUGCAUCUCUUCCCUUAUUAACUGUGCUGCUAGUAUAAAAUCUUUCAUUAUUUUCCUUCCUUGCUGUAAACCUUGGGAGUGUAUUUUGAUAACCUUGACAAUUCCCUGUGGAGAUCUUGCUGUACCUUCAGUCAACUCAGUGCACAAAAUGAGGCAAGCAAAAUGUAGAGUUUGCAGGUAUGAUUACUUGUAAGUAUAGAGACUUCUUGUCUUCCUGUUGGCCAGAACCCAUGGAGAGAUUCUAGGUGAGCAGUUCUUUAGAGGAUGAUCUUUAUAGUCUCUCCUAACCCGUGGAGAUUUUGUGCAACAUUCUUCAUAGGCUUCAUAUUUCCAUAAUGAAAAAUAAAAAUAGAUUCUAAGUACAUUCCUUAUCCCAGGUGCACAAAAAGCUGAGUGGGAAAUCUGCAGAUCAUUGUGGUGCAUCCAAUAUCCUAUAUGUUUUUUUUCAUAUAACCUUUCUUUUCUGAUAAAGA